rnacentral:rRNA from 1 species
UACGAGGGGUGCAAGCGUUGUUCGGAAUUACUGGGCGUAAAGGGCUUGUAGGUGGCCAACUAAGUCAGACGUGAAAUCCCCCGGCUUAACCGGGGAACUGCGUCUGAUACUGGAUGGCUAGAGAUUGGGAGAGGGACGCGGAAUUCCAGGUGUAGCGGUGAAAUGCGUAGAUAUCUGGAGGAACACCGGUGGCGAAGGCGGCGUCCUGGACCAACACUGACACUGAAAAGCGAAAGCCAGGGGAGCAAACGGG